GUGGGGAAUUUUGGACAAUGGGCGCAAGCCUGAUCCAGCAAUGCCGCGUGUGUGAAGAAGGCCUUCGGGUUGUAAACUGCUUUUGUACGGAACGAAACGGUCCGGGUUAAUACCCUGGGCUAAUGACGGUACCGUAAGAAUAAGCACCGGCUAACUACGUGCCAGCAGCCGCGGUAAUACGUAGGGUGCAAGCGUUAAUCGGAAUUACUGGGCGUAAAGCGUGCGCAGGCGGUUUUGUAAGACAGGCGUGAAAUCCCCGGGCUCAACCUGGGAAUUGCGCUUGUGACUGCAAGGCUGGAGUGCGGCAGAGGGGGAUGGAAUUCCGCGUGUAGCAGUGAAAUGCGUAGAUAUGCGGAGGAACACCGAUGGCGAAGGCAAUCCCCUGGGCCUGCACUGACGCUCAUGCACGAAAGCGUGGGGAGCAAACAGGAUUAGAUACCCCUGUAGUCC
rnacentral:rRNA from 1 species